UACAGAGGUCCCAAGCGUUGUUCGGAUUCAUUGGGCGUAAAGGGUGCGCAGGCGGUUCUGCAAGGCAGGCGUGAAAUCCCCGGGCUUAACCUGGGAAUGGCGCUUGAAACUACGGGACUGGAGUAUGGCAGAGGGAGGUGGAAUUCCACGUGUAGCGGUGAAAUGCGUAGAGGUGUGGAGGAACACCGAUGGCGAAGGCAGCCUCCUGGGCCAAUACUGACGCUCAUGCACGAAAGCGUGGGGAGCAAACAGG
rnacentral:rRNA from 1 species